rnacentral:rRNA from 1 species
GAUGAACGCUAGCGGCAGGCUUAAUACAUGCAAGUCGUGGGGCAGCAUGAAGUAGCAAUACUUUGAUGGCGACCGGCAAACGGGUGCGGAACACGUACACAACCUUCCUUUUAGUGGGGAAUAGCCCAGAGAAAUUUGGAUUAAUACCCCGUAACAUAGCGAUGAGGCAUCUCAUUGCUAUUAUAGCUUCGGCGCUAGAUGAUGGGUGUGCGUAUGAUUAGAUAGUUGGCGAGGUAACGGCUCACCAAGUCUACGAUCAUUAGCUGAUGUGAGAGCAUGAUCAGCCACACGGGCACUGAGACACGGGCCCGACUCCUACGGGAGGCAGCAGUAAGGAAUAUUGGUCAAUGGACGAAAGUCUGAACCAGCCAUGCCGCGUGAAGGAUUAAGGUCCUCUGGAUUGCAAACUUCUUUUAUAUGGGACGAAAAAAGGUCUUUCUAGAUCACUUGACGGUACCAUAUGAAUAAGCACCGGCUAACUCCGUGCCAGCAGCCGCGGUAAUAC